CCUCCCAUCUCUGAGCCGUGACA
rnacentral:siRNA from 1 species